AAGUCGUAACAAGGUUUCCGUAGGUGAACCUGCGGAAGGAUCAUUAUCGAUUCUAUCACACCUUAAAACAACUGUGAACUGUUUUCUCUGCCUCUUCGUAUUUUGGACCUUUUUUUUUUUCUUUUGGGAAAGAGAGGACCGGAGUACGAAGUUGUACGAUGACUUCCCCUUCGUUUCUCUUCGGAGAUUCGAACGGGAGGUUUCCACAUUCAUUCAUUUAAAACCCCUUUCUUUAAAUGUUUGAUUUUGUUUUUAUUUUGGAAAUGCUUUUGGGCGAAAGUCCAAACGUUUUCAAUAAAAAAAUAAAAAACACAAUACAACUCUUAGCAACGGAUCUCUCGGCUCUC
rnacentral:misc_RNA from 1 species